GAUGAACGCUGGCGGCGUGCCUAAUACAUGCAAGUCGAGCGAACGGACGAGAAGCUUGCUUCUCUGAUGUUAGCGGCGGACGGGUGAGUAACACGUGGAUAACCUACCUAUAAGACUGGGAUAACUUCGGGAAACCGGAGCUAAUACCGGAUAAUAUUUUGAACCGCAUGGUUCAAAAGUGAAAGACGGUCUUGCUGUCACUUAUAGAUGGAUCCGCGCUGCAUUAGCUAGUUGGUAAGGUAACGGCUUACCAAGGCAACGAUGCAUAGCCGACCUGAGAGGGGGAUGGGCACCACGGAAGGUGAGCCAGUGUCCAGACACCAACGGGAGGCAGCAGCAGGUAGUGUUCGGCAAUGGGCGAAAGACUGAAGAAGCAACUCAGGGGGAGUGAAGAAGGUCUGCGGAUCGUAAAACGCUGUUAUUGGGAAAGAACAAAAGUGUAAGUAACUGUGCACAUCUUGACGGUACCUAAUCAAAAAGCCACGGCUAACUACGG
rnacentral:rRNA from 1 species